rnacentral:rRNA from 1 species
ACGCACGCUGGCGGCGUGCUUAACACAUGCAAGUCGAACGAUGAUCAGGAGCUUGCUCCUGUGAUUAGUGGCGAACGGGUGAGUAACACGUGAGUAACCUGCCCCUGACUCUGGGAUAAGCGUUGGAAACGACGUCUAAUACUGGAUAUGAUCACUGGCCGCAUGGUCUGGUGGUGGAAAGAUUUUUUGGUUGGGGAUGGACUCGCGGCCUAUCAGCUUGUUGGUGAGGUAAUGGCUCACCAAGGCGACGACGGGUAGCCGGCCUGAGAGGGUGACCGGCCACACUGGGACUGAGACACGGCCCAGACUCCUACGGGAGGCAGCAGUGGGGAAUAUUGCACAAUGGGCGAAAGCCUGAUGCAGCAACGCCGCGUGAGGGAUGACGGCCUUCGGGUUGUAAACCUCUUUUAGUAGGGAAGAAGCGAAAGUGACGGUACCUGCAGAAAAAGCACCGGCUAACUACGUG